AAGUGUUUAAGGGCGCAUGGUGGAUGCCUUGGCAUCAGAGGCCGAUGAAGGACGUAGGAGGCUGCGAUAAGCCUCGGGGAGCUGCCAACCGAGCGUUGAUCCGAGGAUGUCCGAAUGGGGAAACCCAGCACGAGUGAUGUCGUGUUACCCACGCCUGAAUAUAUAGGGUGUGGGAGGUAACGCGGGGAAGUGAAACAUCUCAGUACCCGUAGGAAGAGAAAACAAUUGUGAUUCCGUGAGUAGUGGCGAGCGAAAGCGGAUGAGGCUAAACCGUAUGCAUGUGAUACCGGGUAGGGGUUGUGUGUGCGGGGUUGUGGGACCUAUCUUUCCAGUUCUAUCCGGCUGGAGGGCAGUAAGAAAAUGUCGUGGUUAACGGAAGUGGCUUGGGAUGGCCUGCCGUAGAGGGUGAGAGUCCCGUACGUGAAAACCCGAUGUCUGCCUUGAUGGUGUUCCCGAGUAGCAGCGGGCCCGUGAAAUCUGCUGUGAAUCUGCCGAGACCACUCGGUAAGCCUAAAUACCUUCUGAUGACCGAUAGCGGAUUAGUACCGUGAGGGAAUGGUGAAAAGUACCCCGGGAGGGGAGUGAAAUAGUACCUGAAACCGUGUGCCUACAAUCCGUCAGAGCCCUCGUUUACGUGGGGUGAUGGCGUGCCUUUUGAAGAAUGAGCCUGCGAGUCAGGGACAUGUCGCGAGGUUAACCCGUGGGGGGUAGCCGUAGCGAAAGCGAGUCUGAAUAGGGCGUAUCCCAUUAUGGGUGUAGUGGCAUGUUCUGGACCCGAAGCGGAGUGAUCUACCCAUGGCCAGGGUGAAGCGCGGGUAAGACCGCGUGGAGGCCCGAACCCACUUAGGUUGAAGACUGAGGGGAUGAGCUGUGGGUAGGGGUGAAAGGCCAAUCAAACUCCGUGAUAGCUGGUUCUCCCCGAAAUGCAUUUAGGUGCAGCGUUGCGUGUUUCUUGCCGGAGGUAGAGCUACUGGAUGGCCGAUGGGCCUCACCAGGUUACUGACGUCAGCCAAACUCCGAAUGCCGGUAAGACAAAAGCGUGGCAGUGAGACGGCGGGGGAUAAGCUCCGUGCGUCGAGAGGGAAACAGCCCAGAUCGCCGACUAAGGCCCCUAAGCGUGUGCUAAGUGGAAAAGGAUGUGCAGUCGCGAAGACAACCAGGAGGUUGGCUUAGAAGCAGCCACCCUUGAAAGAGUGCGUAAUAGCUCACUGGUCAAGUGAUUGUGCGCCGAUAAUGUAGCGGGGCUCAAGCACACCGCCGAAGUCGCGGCAUCCGCAAGGAUGGGUAGGGGAGCGUCCUGCAUCCGGUGAAGCAGCCGAGUGAUCGAGUUGUGGAGGGUGUGGGAGUGAGAAUGCAGGCAUGAGUAGCGAAUAGGCAAGUGAGAACCUUGCCCGCCGAAAGACCAAGGGUUCCUGGGGCAGGCCAGUCCGCCCAGGGUGAGUCGGGACCUAAGGCGAGGCCGACAGGCGUAGUCGAUGGACAACGGGUUGAUAUUCCCGUACCCGUGUGUGUGCGUCCGUGAUGAAUCCAUUGUGCUAACCAUCCAAAUGGCACGUGAUGAUCCUUUCGGGGAUCACGUGUUGCCGGCUGCGUGGGACCCUGGUGGGUAGUAGUCAAGCGAUGGGGUGACGCAGGAAGGUAGCCGUACCGGUCAGUGGUAAUACCGGGUAAGCCUGUAGGGAGUCAGAUAGGCAAAUCCGUCUGACAUAUAUCCUGAGAGGUGAUGCAUAGCCGAGUGAGGCGAAUUCGGUGAUCCUAUGCUGCCAAGAAAAGCCUCUAGCGAGUGCACACAUGGCCCGUACCCCAAACCAACACAGGUGGUCAGGUAGAGAAUACUAAGGCGUACGAGUUAACUAUGGUUAAGGAACUCGGCAAAAUGCCCCCGUAACUUCGGGAGAAGGGGGACCCACAUGGUGUGUAAGCCCUCGCGGCCCAAGCAUGAGUGGGUGGCACAAACCAGUGAGAAGCGACUGUUUACUAAAAACACAGGUCCGUGCGAAGUCGCAAGACGAUGUAUACGGACUGACGCCUGCCCGGUGCUGGAAGGUUAAGAGGACCUGUUAACUCCUUCGGGGGUGAAGCGGAGAAUUUAAGCCCCAGUAAACGGCGGUGGUAACUAUAACCAUCCUAAGGUAGCGAAAUUCCUUGUCGGGUAAGUUCCGACCUGCACGAAUGGCGUAACGACUUCUCAACUGUCUCAACCAUAGACUCGGCGAAAUUGCACUACGAGUAAAGAUGCUCGUUACGCGCGGCAGGACGAAAAGACCCCGGGACCUUCACUACAACUUGGUAUUGGAGUUCGGUACGGUUUGUGUAGGAUAGGUGGGAGACUGUGAAGCGCACACGCCAGUGUGUGUGGAGUCGUUGUUGAAAUACCACUCUGAUCGUAUUGGGCUUCUAACCUCGGACCAUAUAUCUGGUCCAGGGACAGUGCCUGGUGGGUAGUUUAACUGGGGCGGUUGCCUCCUAAAAUGUAACGGAGGCGCCCAAAGGUUCCCUCAACCUGGACGGCAAUCAGGUGUUGAGUGUAAGUGCACAAGGGAGCUUGACUGCGAGACCUACAAGUCGAGCAGGGACGAAAGUCGGGACUAGUGAUCCGGCACCCCCGAGUGGAAGGGGUGUCGCUCAACGGAUAAAAGGUACCCCGGGGAUAACAGGCUGAUCUUCCCCAAGAGUCCAUAUCGACGGGAUGGUUUGGCACCUCGAUGUCGGCUCGUCGCAUCCUGGGGCUGGAGCAGGUCCCAAGGGUUGGGCUGUUCGCCCAUUAAAGCGGCACGCGAGCUGGGUUUAGAACGUCGUGAGACAGUUCGGUCUCUAUCCGCCGCGCGCGUCAGAAACUUGAGGAAACCUGUCCCUAGUACGAGAGGACCGGGACGGACGAACCUCUGGUCUACCAGUUGUCCCACCAGGGGCACGGCUGGAUAGCUACGUUCGGACAGGAUAACCGCUGAAAGCAUCUAAGCGGGAAACCUCUUCCAAGACCAGGUUUCUCACCCUUUUAGAGGGAUAAGGCCCCCCGCAGACCACGGGAUCGAUAGACCAGACCUGCACACCCAGCAAUGGGUUUAGGGAACUGGCACUAACCGGCCGAAAACUUA
rnacentral:rRNA from 1 species